GACAGAGGGGGCAAGCGUUGCUCGGAAUCACUGGGCGUAAAGGGCGCGUAGGCGGGAUGGCAAGUCGGUCGUGAAAUCCUUCGGCUCAACCGAAGAACGUCGGCCGAUACUGCCGUUCUUGAGGGAUGCAGAGGAGAUUGGAAUUCCCGGUGUAGCGGUGAAAUGUGUAGAGAUCGGGAGGAACACCGGUGGCGAAGGCGGGUCUCUGGGCAUCUCCUGACGCUGAGGCGCGAAGGCCAGGGGAGCAAACGGG
rnacentral:rRNA from 1 species